ensembl:lncRNA
GUUCAGAAAAUUCUUUACUCAUUAAAAAAAAGAGAGAGAGAGGGUAGUGUAGAUGCUAAAAUAUCCAUUUGCCCAAGAUAUUACACACCUCUUAAUCUUUUAAUUAACACAGCAUCUGUGUCGGUGACUCUUUAAGUCUUACAAACCACAUUACCACAGUUGCCUGAAUAUUCCUCAAACCACUGGGAACUGAACUUUUGCCAUGGGGGUUAUAAGACUCAACAGACUUACCUGGUUCAUAAAUCCUUCAGCUUCCUGGUUUGGAGUCAAACAAGUCUUCAGUCUUCUCUCCUCAAGCAGAGAUUACUCUGCGAUGCUGCAACAACUGGCAUCUGGGCCCACCGUGCUUCACCUUUCCUUUUAUAGGUGCCUUUUGCCACGUGACGUUGUAGCUCCUCCUUUACUAAAAGGAUACAGUAUGUUUUCUUUCUUCUGACUUUGGGCUUGGCCAUGAGGUGGCAACCCACUCCAGUAGUCUUGCCUGGAGAACCCCACGGACAGAGAAGCCUGGCAGGCUACAGUCCAUGGGGUCACAAGAGUUGGACACGACUGACCGACUAAACCACCACCACCAUCACGAGACUUGUUUGGGCAAACAGAAUAUAGCAGAAAUGAUAGUGUAUCCGCUCUGGGUCUGUGGCGCCUCAAGACACCUUGCAACUUUCAAGUCUCUUGCUUAAUCCUCUGCUGUUACCGUGAGGAAGACUUGCCUUAAGUAUUCAGUUCAUCAGAGGGAGAUGAGGGAUGUGUGGGGAAGAGCUGCCCCAGCUGAGCCCAAUUUAGGUUAACCAGCCCUUCUAGGCCCCACAGGUGCAUGAGAUAAACCAUUUCUUCUUUUGUGAGCUGCUGAGAACUCUGGUUGUGCAUUACCCAGGUUUAUUGAAGCAACUGUUAAUCCAGACACUGACCCUCCAAAGUUAAUCAUUUCUUCUGGCACCAUGAGAGUGAGGUCAGCACCAAACCCUUCGGGCCCUUUCCACUUGGACUCUUUUUCAUUUGUCUAUUAUCUCUGCAUGGUAACAACAUGGUCACUCCCCUAACCAAACUGCAUUCCUGUUUUUAAGCCAUAGUUAAAAGAAAUUUCUUUUGAAAUAAUAGUGGAGAAAAUGCAAGGUCCUUUUUAAGAAAAAGAAUGGAGAAUCCAUGCAUGGGAAUAUGCAUCUCUUCUUGAACCAUCCUCUACAGCCAAAGAUUUAAAUCCAGCACUUAAGAUUAUCUGAACGCAGAGCCACUAAAACAAAACAGAACAGAAACUUAAAAUCUGCCAUUGUGCUAGCAUUCACAUCUCUUGGGAUGAUAUGAAAUAGGAGGGGUUAAGAGUCACUCAGUUGUGCUCUUGGAUGAUCACAGAGCUAUCUUUAGAACCAGGCAGAACCAGGUUACUGAAGCACAAACUAACGGUGUAUGCCUGGGAAGCAAAAUUCAUAGGGACUGGCUAAUAAGCUGAUGCUGCUUUUCUUAACUGGCUGAGAAGUUGAUCGUCACCUGAAAAGUUCAUGAUCCGGAAUUAACCUUUGGAUCCAAAGUGAAAGUGAAGUCACUCAGUCGUGUCCGACUCUUCGCGACCCCGUGGACUGUAGCCCACCAGGCUCCUCCGUCCAUGGGAUUCUCCAGGCAAGAAUACUGGAGUGGGAUUGCCACUUCCUUCUCCAGGGGAUCUUCCCGGCCCAGGGGUCGAACCCAGGUCUCCCUUGGAUCCAAAGACAGACUUUAUUCCCACAAAAUCAAAAUUGGUAACACUUUCUUGGAUACCCACUGUACACAAACAAAAAUUAUGUUAACUUGACUGUACAAACAUUGGUAAACAUGAGCCUAAUUUUAAAAAACAUAAUGUUGUUUGUUCUCACAGUUUAAAAGUAUAGCAGAAGAAAUGGGUUACUUUUUUCCUUUAGAGCCUUUCCUAAUAAGCUAACAAACAUGAAUAACUGUAUUUCAGGAUUUUCUCUGCUCCAUAAUCCUCCCUCAGAAGUUUUCAGACACUGAAGAAAUUUUCAAAGAUUAACCUUUGGAAAAAGUUGUCUUUUUAGAAAAGACAAAAGGAAAAAAAAAACCUAUGUGAAAUUUCCCAGAGACUCUCCUUCUAAUUUACACUAAUAGAUAUGCAGGUCAUAUGGAAAAUUAAACACCAAAAUUUGAAUUUUGGGGGCAAGAGAAUUUAUGCACACAAAUCCUAUUACCAGCUAAUGGGAUUUGUGGGGAUCCCCAGUGACCUAUUUAGAAAAUGUACCCCCUGCUGUUCAAGAUGAAUAUAUCAUGUGAGCUAAACCAGAAUACUUAGUCCUGCAGUUGGCUUUAUCCCCAGUCUGUCUGAGUGAUCCCUCCAUGAUUUCUAAAAGAUGCUGGCAACCAUAGCAGUUUGCAUAUCUGACUGACAGUGCAAAAUGACAUCUAUAUUUUCACUUUUAAGUUCUCCAAAAUUUGUUGCAAAUAUUUUUUAAAGGCCUCUUCCUUCCUUUCUCCUUUCCUCUCUACCCUUCCUUCCUCCUCCUUUUUUUCCUCCUUGUCUUCCUGCUCUCCUUUUUCUCCUCACUUUCUUCUCCUUAUUCUUAAAUGUAGAAAAGAAGUGAAGCAAGCAUUAAGGCAUUAAUAUUCUCUUUCUCUCUGUACUUGGUUGAAGAGAUCGAGGCUCCUGUCACAGUUCAAGUACCUGUCACUGCAGUGGUUUCAGAACUCUCUCGUGAGACAAAUAUACACAUGUUUUUGGAGAACCGUUUCUAAGUCAGGACUGUCAGGUGCUGAGAAAACCAAAUCACCAUGAGUGUGGAAGUGUCUGGGGGUAUUGAUACUGCACUCCUGUCUGUACAAUACUCCCUUGGCAAAACACCAGUUUUCUCUGGGACAUGGUCUCUCACCAACCUCCUGCAGCCC